UACGUAGGGGGCAAGCGUUGUCCGGAUUUAUUGGGCGUAAAGAGCGUGUAGGCGGCCAGGUAGGUCCGUUGUGAAAACUCGAGGCUCAACCUCGAGACGUCGGCGGAAACCCUCUGGCUAGAGUCCGGAAGAGGAGAGUGGAAUUCCUGGUGUAGCGGUGAAAUGCGCAGAUAUCGGGAAGAACACCCGUGGCGAAGGCGGCUCUCUGGGACGGUACUGACGCUGAGACGCGAAAGCGUGGGGAGCGAACAGG
rnacentral:rRNA from 1 species